GCGGCAGCGGCGGCGGCGGCGGGGCGGAGACUGGAGCCCGCAGCGAGCGGCGGAGGCUGGAGGCGGCGGCAGCCAGACAGGAGCAGACGAUGAAGAAAACACUUAACAUUUCACAGAUACUGCAAGAAAAAAUAUGGCCCAGUUGAGUGAGGAAGAUUUAUGCAUGGAGAUGGAGAGAAGUCCACCUGAAGUUUUACUUCAUUCUGUUUUCUUCAUUCCUCCAUAAUAAGACAAAACACACUUCUGCAUCCCCGAAUACUUGGCAAAAUAGACUGGCAGGGUACAGAAAUGUAUUGCACAGUCUUCCCAGCCUCGAAGGGUUGAACAGAUUUUGGUACAGUAAACAGAAUCUUAAAGAAUUACACAUUUACAAAAGGAAUCCAUUGAAUUUAUUCACACAAAUGAGAAAAGCACUGCAAAGACAUGCAUUGUUCAUUUUUUCUGCUCUGCUAAGAUGUAUUCAUCUGUGCAUAAAUAGCUAAAAUUACUUGUGAAGCCAACAGAUGUGCCAAAAACCCACGCCCACAGAGAAGCCAGCUCAAGAAUGGUGCAUUUCCCAUGCAUGUUAGGUUCACAUUUCAGCCAACUGAUUCAGAGACAAUUCAACCAGAUUGCAGAACCUUUUUCAUUAUCAUUUAUGCAGGCUCCAAUUCCAGGAGCUUCAGAUACUCUUGAGAGGCACUGCAUAAAGCACAUGAAAACUACCUGCCUUGGGAAAGGGGGAAAGAGAGAGCUCAAGUCUUUGUUUAAAACACAGAAAAGAAUAUAAACACCAUUUAACAUAUUCAGGCACCGUGGUAAUGAGUUAUAGAUGGAUACAGUUAGAUUAAUCAGAAUUAGCUUUUUAAUACUUGUGGACUUUUUUACUCAGUUAUCUACUAUGGGGUUUUUUUUUGGCUUGGGUAAAGCCUCAUUUACAUCUUUACCUUAUUAGAUAUGACUCGUGCAUAUCUUAAAGCUUUUCAUUCCCUCCCAGUAGGGACACUUUCCUUCCCAAGAUUCUGAGACCACCUGUUUUUUGGUUCACAGUUUACCUCCCCCACAUUCCUUCUCUGUUUGCUUUACUGACUCCUCCAUCUGUGUCCCUUGGGGCUUUAUACUACAUCCUGUUCUCUGAUCUCUGCUCCUUGGCCCAUUUCUCCUCACAAAUACUUUGAAAAUAUGGCAAAUUACUUUUCUAACUUCUUGCCUUCCACAUCAGACUGAAGUCCUUUGGUCUCAUAUUCAGUGUUAUUUACAAUCUGUCUCCUAGCAGGAUGUCUGCCUGCCUGCCUGCCUGCCUUCUGUGUCCCAUUCCAAAGGGCAUACCUUUCCUUCAGGCUGCUGCUUCUGUGCAUUCUCACAUGCUACUACCUAUGCCAGCCACUCUUUUUCUUAACAACUCUACUGUGCUUUUGCUUUUUCUUCUUCAAAAUUCCUCCCUGGAAUUCACUAAUUCCAUAAAAUCCUCAGUCCAAGUCAUCCCUUUCAAAGAAAUAGGACCCAUAAAAAUGCAGGAUGAAUAAAGCAUGCCUAUCAUCAUAUGCAUUUGCUUUUAUAUUGGCCCUAUCCCCUUGCAUUUAUCAGUAUUUUUCUACUGCAAUUGUAAGCUCUUUUAAAGGCAGGGAACUUAUCUUACAUAUUGAUGAAGCAGCAAGUGCAUUUUCAGCUUUAUAGAAAUAAUAACCAUCUAUGUUUUAGAAGAUCUUAACACAGCUUGAUGUGGCUUGUGAGGCCAAAAGGGACAUUUGCUGAGUGUAGAACUGUUUUCACAAGCCCUUACUCAUGUCAGUUAUACAUGCAAGAACCAGCUCUUUGAAACCAAUAACACUGCUUGUAUGAAGAUUGUAUGAAUAUCUGUAGGAUUGGACUUCCUUGAUCCUUGCAUAGAGAUUUUAUUGAUGUAAACUCUGUUUUGCAUGCACAUAUCAAUUCACUGUUUUGAAUGUACGUAUAAAGAAGACAUGUAAAAAAAUAUGUAUAGUUUAUUUCAAAAUUAAACUGCUUUAUUCUUUGCUGAUGUGAAAUAAAUGUUAUCUUGAAA